CGGAAGAGGAUACUCACUUGAUAAAUCUCAGGAAAAGUGGGGACAGCUCCCUGGACCGGGGCUCCACUCUCUCUGGGAAUUUUGCCAGAGCCCGCCAUAGCAAAAACCGGAAGUUGGUAUGGUCGAGUCUUUCCUGACAGUUGGUCUGCAGCACUAACUGCUCCUGAUACAGAGCCCCGGCGCCUCCUUCCUGGGUCUGCUCCCAGCUUCUGUCUCCAGCGGGCUUCUCCUCUUCUAUGUCCCUCUGCAGUUCUUUCUCUGCAGAGAAAAAGUCAUCAUAGCAUUGAGAAUGCGCUCAGUCAUCAGAACCAGAGCAGGUGCAGCCCUGCCUGCCACUGUGCAGCAAAUGUGUGAGGGCUCCCAGCCGCAGCCUACCUUAUGAGCUCGAUCACCGGGUCCCAGAGCGCGCUGAAGUUGACGUACAGCAUGCCCAGCAGCACCCAAAAUUAAACAGAAGAAUCACCGUAACAAACAGCACCUGAAGUCAUUCCAGAUGUUCAUUUGACUAAAAAUUAAAUUCCACUCUAAGAAACACC
rnacentral:lncRNA from 1 species